rnacentral:rRNA from 1 species
UACGUAGGGCGCAAGCGUUAUCCGGAAUUAUUGGGCGUAAAGAGCUCGUAGGCGGUUUGUCGCGUCUGCCGUGAAAGUCCGGGGCUCAACCCUCGGAUGCCGGUGGAUACUGUCGGGCUCGAGUACGGAAGAGGCGAGUGGAAUUCCUGGUGUAGCGGUGAAAUGCGCAGAUAUCAGGAGGAACACCGGUGGCGAAGGCGGGUCUCUGGGCAAUACUGACGCUGAGGAGCGAAAGCGUGGGGAGCGAACAGG